UUUCUCCUCUGGACCUCUUUGAUACUGAGCCACUCACUCAAAAUGCUUAAACACUCAUCCAGAGCGUCCCUCUGAACAUCUGCUUCUGUCCCUCCCUCACCGACACGGUCUCUUUCCUACAUCUUCGUCACCGUCCACCGCCGCGAGCGUUAGUGGUUAACUAUUAGGGUCGAAAGUAUGAACUUGUUGCUAUAAUUACUCACCAUGGAAGGGAGCCUUCGAAGGGGCACUACACAACUGAUGCCCAAUACCCCAAUGGUCGGUGGCUAAGAUUUGAUGAUGCAUCUGUCUAUGCUAUUGGAACAAAUAAGGUUCUGCAUGAUGAAGCCUAUGUCCUUUUCUACAGACAACUGUGAAAGUAUUCAUGUUGUGUCAAAUAUCUAAUCCCUUCCUGCACCUGACACAAAAAACACUACUCCCCUAUAAAAAAGGAUUGCCAAUUGAUUAGUAUCUUGCAUGGGGAGAAUGUGGGUGAUUAUUUAAUAGCUGGUCAAUGUCCUUUGCUCAGGGCUCAGUUUGCUAAAAUGUCAUAAAUGGUUGAUCCAAUUCAGUGUGAGAAGAGUAAUUGUUGUAACAUUUUUUUUUAUGUUAUCUUAAACUAGAAAAGUUUUGUAGUCCUAGUUUAGGACAUGAACAUGUAUUUAUGGUAACAUCCAGUAAAGGUUUAUAAGAAUGUGCUGAAUAUUAUGAAGAA